CUGAUUUAGAAAAGACCUAAAUCUAAAUUUUCUCACUAAAUAUUAAGUCUAGAGGUAUUCCAUCAUUGUAGAGAUGUGGAUGCCUUCUUGAUAUUGAUCAUUUUUGACUGGUUAUAGUGGUUCGAUUGCAUCAAAAAGAUACUACCCUCUAUUGGCAUUUGAUGCUCCAUGAUAGAGAUAGGGUUGGAUCUAAUAACUA
rnacentral:lncRNA from 1 species